GCUUGUCUCAAAGAUUAAGCCAUGCAUGUCUCAGUAUAAGCUUCUAUACGGUGAAACUGCGAAUGGCUCAUUAAAACAGUUACAGUUCAUUUGAUGGUUACUCCUUACAUGGAUAACUGUGGUAAUUCUAGAGCUAAUACAUGCGCCCAAACCUGACUCCGUGGAAGGGUUGUGUUUAUUAGAUGGAAACCAAUGCGGGGCAACCCGGAAUAUGGUGAUUCAUAAUAACUUUCGGAUCGUUUACGAUGCAUCAUUCAAGUUUCUGCCCUAUCAGCUUUGGAUGGUAGGGUAUUGGCCUACCAUGGCUUUAACGGGUAACGGAGAAUUAGGGUUCGAUUCCGGAGAGGGAGCCUGAGAAAUGGCUACCACAUCCAAGGAAGGCAGCAGG
rnacentral:rRNA from 1 species